UACAGAGGGUGCGCGCGUUAAUCGGGAUUACUGGGCGGAAAGCGCACGUAGGUGGCGACGUAAGUCGGGUGUGAAAGCCCCCGGCUCAACCUGGGAAUUGCAUUCGAGACUGCAUUGCUGGAGUACGGGAGAGGAGGGCGGAAUUCCCGGUGUAGCGGUGAAAUGCGGAGAUAUCGGGGGGAACCUCAGGGGCGAAGGCGGGCCUCUGGUCCAGUACUGACACGUCAGUGCGGAAGCGUUGGGAGCAAACAGG
rnacentral:rRNA from 1 species